CGUAACAAGGUCUCCGUUGGUGAACCAGCGGAGGGAUCAUUACUGAGUUACCGCUCUAUAACCCUUUGUGAACAUACCUAACUGUUGCUUCGGCGGGCAGGGGGUGCCGCCUGCGGACCCCCCUCCCGGCCCUGCCCUCACGGGCGGAGCGCCCGCCGGAGGAUACCAAACUCUAUUUUAACGACGUUUCUUCUGAGUGGCACAAGCAAAUAAUUAAAACUUUCAACAACGGAUCUCUUGGUUCUGGCAUCGAUGAAGAACGCAGCGAAAUGCGAUAAGUAAUGUGAAUUGCAGAAUUCAGUGAAUCAUCGAAUCUUUGAACGCACAUUGCGCCCGCCAGCAUUCUGGCGGGCAUGCCUGUUCGAGCGUCAUUUCAACCCUCAAGCUCUGCUUGGUGUUGGGGCCCUACGGUUGACGUAGGCCCUUAAAGGUAGUGGCGGACCCUCUCGGAGCCUCCUUUGCGUAGUAACUAACGUCUCGCACUGGGAUUCGGAGGGACUCUUGCCGUAAAACCCCCAAAUUUUUAAAGGUUGACCUCGGAUCAGGUAGGAAUACCCGCUGAACUUAAGCAUAUCA
rnacentral:rRNA from 1 species